GAAAAAUAUGCACAUUGUAUAUGACUGGGCUCCCCGGUUAGGCCUUUCACAGGGGAUUAGAACUCUUAACGCCCCACGGCGCUCCAUUUCGUCACAAAAGCCUUUGGCACAAUCUGUUUGGCUGUCAUGUUUCUGGGGGCCUUGUGUAGUUAUUAAGUGACAUUAGGUAGCCCUGCAUAGGGUCUUUUAUCCCCAAAUAGCCACAUUCUCUAGAAUAGUUGUUUGAGCUGCUUGACACACCCUGGGGAAGUAGGCAAAGUAUCAUAACCUUCCCUUUCAGUGGAAGGCAGGUGAAGAGCCGCAGAACCUUCCUGAAGGAACCCCAUGGAUGUGGGGUCAGGCAGCUCGCAGAGACACCCACAAGGACAAGUGUUCCCUCGGGGCCCGUCUGGACAACUUUCUCUGCUUACCACCUUUACUGUGACAAUGGGCCAACCCUUUGGCCUUGGACUUCUAUUUCACGCCAAGUUGUGAUGUCCUGGUUGGUGUUGGGUGAAACUGCUGUGAAAUGUGUCCUAGAACACAUUCCCUAGAAGUCUGGGGAGCUUUGAACUUGACCUCUGCAGCGCCUGGAUUGUGACAAGCAAAAGUGCGAUUCUGAUGUUGCCAUUUACUCUGUGCAGAAUGGAGUGUCUCAGCCUCAAACAGCCACGUACAGGCCAACAGACUCAACAAGCAUGACUGAUCAUGAAGACUCUGGAAGCCCUCAGGCAGCUCAUGAAGCCCCAGACUCUUUGUUAACACUGAGACUGUCUCCAGCGAAGUCUUGGGCCCUGCUAACAGUCUCUGUCUCCUCUUCACUGCCUUGUCCAGGAACCUCUCCAGUCUCAUUUCCAGCUGCCAGCAGGUCACAUCCAUUCAGCUUGCUAAUGGUGUUCAGCAGACCCGCACUUGGGAGAGCCCAGGAAGUCGGAAACAGGCCGGUGCCCUCGCACCAGGACGCUCCUUGGUGCUGCGGAGAAGUGAUGGGCAUCUCUCCAUCCAGACUCCUAGGUUGGUGGAGAGGAGGUAGGGCUGGGGUCCAAGUGGGGUUUUCCCCCAACCUCAUGGGGCGCACGGCCUGG
rnacentral:lncRNA from 1 species